rnacentral:rRNA from 1 species
AACGAACGCUGGCGGCAGGCUUAACACAUGCAAGUCGAACGCCCCGCAAGGGGAGUAGCAGACGGGUGAGUAACGCGUGGGAAUCUACCCAUCUCUACGGAAUAACUCAGGGAAACUUGUGCUAAUACCGUAUACGCCCUUCGGGGGAAAGAUUUAUCGGAGAUGGAUGAGCCCGCGUUGGAUUAGCUAGUUGGUGGGGUAAAGGCCUACCAAGGCGACGAUCCAUAGCUGGUCUGAGAGGAUGAUCAGCCACAUUGGGACUGAGACACGGCCCAAACUCCUACGGGAGGCAGCAGUGGGGAAUAUUGGACAAUGGGCGCAAGCCUGAUCCAGCCAUGCCGCGUGAGUGAUGAAGGCCCUAGGGUUGUAAAGCUCUUUCACCGAUGAAGAUAAUGACUGUAGUCGGAGAAGAAGCCCCGGCUAACUUCGUGCCAGCCGCCGCAGUAAUAC